rnacentral:rRNA from 1 species
UACGGGGGGGGUAAGCGUUGUUCGGAAUUACUGGGCGUAAAGGGCUCGUAGGCGGCCAACUAAGUCAGACGUGAAAUCCCUCAGCUUAACUGGGGAACUGCGUCCGAUACUGGAAGGCUUGAAUCCGGGAGAGGGAUGCGGAACUCCAGGUGUAGCGGUGAAAUGCGUAGAUAUCUGGAGGAACACCGGUGGCGAAGGCGGCAUCCUGGACCGGUAUUGACGCUGAGGCGCGAAAGCCAGGGGAGCAAACGGG